GACGACAUCGGCGGCGCAGAAACAGGAAAUAAAGCAGCCGCCUCAUCGUUUUAGUUAUAAAAGUUCCAGUUUGUUUGUUAGUAUUUAAACGACGGUUGUGUUUGUGCGAACGCGCGCUGCCGUGUGUCUGCCGGCGCCGGAUUGCUUUGGGGAAGCUUUUAGGCUGGGGUCAGACAUGAGAGCAAGGCAAUUUGAGGGUGGAAAUGAGCGAUGUCUUUUUUCAUUUGAGAGCGAGAGGCCUCAGCCUAUCACACGCCGUCUCCUCCGACAUGGAGGCACGACCGUCGAGUCGCAGCUUCUGCCGCCGCGUCCGUCCCACGACAUGGAGGGGAAGGAAGGAGCGCUCAGUGACACACACAGCAGAUGGCAGAACCUCUGCAGGAGCAGCUCAGACAAGAGACCAAACUUUUCUGCACACAAGCAGUGGGAGUUUUGCAGUCCAGUUUUUUCACAAACAACAAAAGGAGAGGAUCAUCCACCUGCAGCGGUUACAUCUGUGACAGACGAGAGGCAAGAGGACGGCAAAAGACGGCAUUAUUUCGGCUCCCCUCUGACGGUCCUCUAAUUUAAU
ensembl:lncRNA